rnacentral:rRNA from 1 species
GACGAACGCUGGCGGCGUGCCUAAUACAUGCAAGUAGGACGCAGUUGCGAACGGGUGAGUAACGCGUAGGUAACUACCUAUUAGAGGGGGAUAACUAUUGGAAACGAUAGCUAAUACCGCAUACUAGUAGAUGGACCUGCGUUGUAUUAGCUAGUAGGUAGGGUAAUGGCCUACCUAGGCAACGAUACAUAGCCGAACGGAGAGGGGGAUCGGGCAACAUGGGGCCUGGAAAAGGCCCAGACUUCGAAGGGAGGAAGGAGUAGGGAAUCCUUCGGAAUGGGGGGAAACCUGAACGAGGAACGACGGCGGAGUGAAGAAGGUUUUUGGAUCGUAAAGCUCUGUUGUUAAGGAAGCGGUACUUAACCAGAAAGGGACGGCUAACUACGUGCCAGCAGCCGCGGUAAUAC